UACGUAGGGGGCGAGCGUUGUCCGGAUUUAUUGGGCGUAAAAGGCUUGUAGGUGGCCACGCCAAGUCGGCUGUGAAAUCUCCCGGCUCAACUGGGAGGGGUCAGUCGAUACUGGCGGGCUCGAGGCCGGUAGGGGGAAGCGGAAUUCCCGGUGUAGUGGUGGAAUGCGUAGAUAUCGGGAGGAGCACCAGUGGCGAAGGCGGUUGCCUGGAGCUUUGCUGACGCUGAGGCGCGAAAGCGUGGGGAGCGAUCCGG
rnacentral:rRNA from 1 species